rnacentral:rRNA from 1 species
GUGAGGAAUAUUGCGCAAUGGGCGAAAGCCUGACGCAGCGACGCCGCGUGGGGGAUGAAGGUCUUCGGAUUGUAAACCCCUUUCGGGAGGGAAGAUGGGACGGGCAACCGUUCGGACGGUACCUCCAGAAGCAGCCACGGCUAACUUCGUGCCAGCAGCCGCGGUAAUACGAAGGUGGCAAGCGUUGUUCGGAUUUACUGGGCGUAAAGGGAGCGUAGGCGGUCUGGUAAGCCCUCCGGGAAAUCUCCCGGCCUAACCGGGAAAGGUCGGAGGGGACUGCUUGACUAGAGGGCGGGAGAGGAGCGCGGAAUUCCCGGUGUAGCGGUGAAAUGCGUAGAGAUCGGGAGGAAGGCCGGUGGCGAAGGCGGCGCUCUGGAACGAUCCUGACGCUGAGGCUCGAAAGCGUGGGGAGCAAACAGGAUUAGAUACCCCAGUAGUCC